rnacentral:lncRNA from 1 species
GGCAUGGUAUGUGGGACCACAAUCACUUUCACUUUGAAAUUCGGGGUUUGGAAUAAUUUAGACUUUGUCAUCAAAUGACUUAAUUCAUUGACUUCUUUUUAUUUUUUUUUUAUUUUGAUAUUGUGCAAAUUAUCAUUAAUUGUUAGGCUUGAGUUCGAUAAGGUCUUCGACUUCGCCUACGAUUUGCCGAGUUACUUUGUGGUUGGUGAUUUGUUGCAUUUUGUGGUUUUGUUAGAUUUAUAGUUAUUUUUUUAAUCUCUAUCUCUAAUUUUUCUUGCCGGUUGUAGACGGCUUCUCCGGUGAGGGAUUUACUCGAUAAACUUUGUUUACUUGAGGAUUUCCAUAUGACUAUGAAAAGGGUUUGAUUUCAGUAACGGUGGACUCUCGAGACCGCACUGUUACAUUCGGUGAUCUCUACUUUUGCAUGUCAUUGUUCAGCUAAGCUCUGAACGUCUCCCCUUUAUAGUAGUGUUUGGAUGACUAAAACUCUUGUUUUGUUUCGAACACCUCCUCCAGUUGACUGCAUGUUAAUUGUUUUGUUUUCUUAUUAUGUUUCUUUUGUUUUUCCUAGAUUUGGUGUUGAUUGCCUUCUUUGCUUAUUGUUGUAUUCACUUCCGUGUUGGUCGAUUACAAUGGGAUGUCGAAAAAAGUCAUCAGUGCUAUGGCGAUAGAGUUUGGUAUGGUUUGAUUGGGUUUAUACUGGAUUUUAAACUUUAC